GACCCCAUCGUCUAGUCAGGCCUAGGACACCAGGUUUUCGACCUGGCAACGCGGGUUCGAAUCCCGCUGGGGUCACCA
rnacentral:tRNA from 1 species